UACCAGCACCCCGAGUGGUCGGGACGUUUAUUGGGCCUAAAGCAUCCGUAGCCGGUUCUACAAGUCUUCCGUUAAAUCCACCUGCUUAACAGAUGGGCUGCGGAAGAUACUAUGGAGCUAGGAGGCGGGAGAGGCAAGCGGUACUCGAUGGGUAGGGGUAAAAUCCGUUGAUCCAUUGAAGACCACCAGUGGCGAAGGCGGCUCACUGGCCCGAUACUGACGCUGAGGCACGAAAGCGUGGGGAGCAAACAGG
rnacentral:rRNA from 1 species